UUUGGCCAUUGGCAGCCCGCUAUUUCGAGCCCUGAUAUAUAUAUAUAUAUAUAUAUAUAUAUAUAUAUAUAUAUAUAUAUAUAUAUAUAUAUAUAUAUAUAUAUAUAUAUAUAUAUAUAUAUAUAUAUAUCAGGGCUCGAAAUAGCGGGCUGCCAAUGGCCAAA